AGAGUUUGAUCCUGGCUCAGAAUCAACGCUGGCGGCGUGCCUCAGACAUGCAAGUCGAACGAUUAAACUCUCCUUCGGGAGAGAUAUAAAGUGUCGCACGGGUGAGUAACACGUAGGUAAUCUACCUUUGAGUGGGGAAUAACGUUCGGAAACGAACGCUAAUACCGCAUAAUGCAGCGGCACCGCAAGGUGACAGUUGUUAAAGGAGCAAUCCGCUUAAAGAGGAGCCUGCGGCAGAUUAGCUAGUUGGUAAGGUAAUGGCUUACCAAGGCUACGAUCUGUAACCGACCUGAGAGGGUGGUCGGUCACACUGACACUGAAUAACGGGUCAGACUCCUACGGGAGGCAGCAGUCGGGAAUUUUGGGCAAUGGGCGAAAGCCUGACCCAGCAACGCCGCGUGAAGGAUGAAGUAUUUCGGUAUGUAAACUUCGAAAGAAUGGGAAGAAUAAAUGACGGUACCAUUUAUAAGGUCCGGCUAACUACGUGCCAGCAGCCGCGGUAAUACGUAGGGACCAAGCGUUGUUCGGAUUUACUGGGCGUAAAGGGCGCGUAGGCGGCGUGUUAAGUCAGCUGUGAAAUCUCCGAGCUUAACUCGGAACGGUCAGCUGAUACUGAUGUGCUAGAGUGCAGAAGGGGCAAUCGGAAUUCUUGGUGUAGCGGUGAAAUGCGUAGAUAUCAAGAGGAACACCUGAGGUGAAGACGGGUUGCUGGGCUGACACUGACGCUGAGGCGCGAAAGCUAGGGUAGCAAACGGGAUUAGAUACCCCAGUAGUCC
rnacentral:rRNA from 1 species